rnacentral:rRNA from 1 species
GAAACAGUUGCUAAGACAGGAUAGGAAAUUAAGAGGCAUCUUUUAAUUUUUAAAAGACCUUUUUCGAAAGGUAUACUUAAAGAGGGGCUUGCGCCACAUUAGUUAGUUGGUAAGGUAAAGGCUUACCAAGACGAUGAUGUGUAGCUGGACUGAGAGGUCGAACAGCCACAUUGGGACUGAGACACGGCCCAAACUCCUACGGGAGGCAGCAGUAAGGAAUUUUUGGCAAUGGAGGAAACUCUGACCGAGCGACGUCGCGUGAACAAUGAAGUACUUCGGUAUGUAAAGUUCUUUUAUUGAAAAAGAAAAAAUAGUGGAAAAACUAUCUUGACAUUAUUCAAUGAAUAAGCCCCGGCUAAUUAUGUGCCAGCAGCCGCGGUAAUACAUAAGGGGCGAGCGUUAUCCGGAAUUAUUGGGCGUAAAGGGUGCGUAGGCGGUUUGAUAAGUCUAUAGUUUAAAUGCAGUGCUUAACGCUGUAGCGCUAUAGAAACUGUCUGACUAGAGUUAGAUAGAGGCAAGCGGAAUUCCAUGUGUAGCGGUAAAAUGCGUAAAUAUAUGGAGGAACGCCAGAGGCGUAGGCGGCUUGCUGGGUCUUAACUGACGCUGAGGCACGAAAGCGUGGGGAGCAAACAGGAUUAGAUACCCUGGUAGUCCACGCCGUAAACGAUGAGUACUAAGUGUCGGGUUUCGGCUCGGUACUGAAGUUAACACAUUAAGUACUCCGCCUGAGUAGUACGUACGCAAGUAUGAAACUUAAAGGAAUUGACGGGACCCCGCACAAGCGGUGGAUCAUGUUGUUUAAUUCGAAGAUACACGAAAAACCUUACCAGGUCUUGACAUAAUUUUGCGACAUUAUAGAAAUAUAAUGAAGGUUAUCAGAAUUACAGGUGGUGCAUGGUUGUCGUCAGCUCGUGUCGUGAGAUGUUAGGUUAAGUCCUAAAACGAGCGCAACCCUUGUCGUUAGUUGCGACCACGUAAUGGUGAGCACUUUAGCGAGACUGCCAAUGAAAAAUUGGAGGAAGGUGAGGAUUACGUCAAAUCAUCAUGCCCCUUAUGAUCUGGGCUACAAACGUGAUACAAUGGCUGUUACAAAGAGUAGCUACAACGUGAGUUUUUAGCCAAUCUCAAAAAAACAGUCUCAGUUCGGAUUGAAGUCUGCAACUCGACUUCAUGAAGUUGGAAUCGCUAGUAAUCGCGAAUCAGCAUGUCGCGGUGAAUACGUUCUCGGGGUUUGUACACACCGCCCGUCA